UUAAAUGAAAUUAAAAUCAACCGAACGAAAUCCUAUCCCAGUCAAUAAUCAGAACAGCUGGAAACCAUAAAGGCUAUUGAAGAGUCAUUUCCAAGGUCCCAUCUGUUGUGUCGAUAGCUCUUCUCUACAGAUUUAAACAUCAUUAAGCUAUCUGUAUUGGAUGUUGCUCCUUCACCCAUUUCUUCAAUCCGGAUUUCUUUGCCAAUCUUCAUCCAAGGUUGAAAUAUGACGUUCCAGUUCUUCUCCUAUCAGGUAAAUGUUUUCUUCUUUCGCAAGAGCUUUCUUUGCUAGACCAUGUGCAUGUGUGUUUUCUGAUCUAUGGAUGUGCUUAAAAGUAAGAUCUUGAAAAAAGGAUUUCUUGUUUGAAUAUCUUUUAUAAUGGCACCUAUUACCGAUUUGUCUGUUGAAGUCGCCUUGCUCUUCUUUAUGACGGUUUUUGAGUCUCCCAUAAUUCUAACUGACUGAGAUCCUAAUGCAAUCCCUAAUUUCAUGCCUUCUAAACAUGCAUAUGCCUCUACCGCGAAUGGUGAGGGGACAUUUCUAUGGAUAACUGUUUUUAACACUAGUAGAUUUCCCCUCAUAUCCCAACCUACUAAUCCAGUCGCUGAUUUGGAGGUUCUACUGUCCAGUGCUGUAUCAAAUUUGAUCGAUAUUCUCGGUACAUUUUCCUGUAUUCUGUGACUCUUGAAAAUUUUCUCAGUUUUCUUCACAGCAUUUAUUCCUUCAUAUUCUGCCAUAUGUCUUUGAAUAUUCUGAGUUAAUCCCCUUCCUGUUGAAUUUUUCCCCUCGUAAAUGAGUUUGUUUCUAAAGGACCAUAUCAACCAUAACGCAUAGCAGAAAAGCCGACACUGGUAAUAGUUGCUGUUCUUGAAAACCCAGGUUAGCCACUCCCAUGUAUUCUGACUCGUAUUCUUCAUGACCCAUGAUAAAUUUAAUGAUUGCCACACUUCUCUUGUGAAAGGACACUCUCGGAAAACAUUAAGACUCUCUUCUACUCCAGAAUAACACCGUGGACAACAGGCAGUUGAAAUGACCCUCCUCAAACUGAGAUUACCAAGAUGAGGGAUAUAAUCCCAUGAAAUCCUCCAAAUUGUAAUUUCAAUUUUUGAAGGCAAUUGUUGGCUCCAUAAUUUUUUGUAAAAUUUUUUUAUUUCGGUCUGUAGUAAGUAGUCAUUGGCUGUAGAAGCAUCUUGUAAUAAUUUAUAAGCACUACGUACUGAAAACUCACCAGAUGGUUCUCCACUCCACACCUGAAUAUCCUCAUGUUCGGUCUCUGCCAGGGGAAUUUGUAGAAUCUUCCGAGCAGUAUCUUCUUGAAAGGUACUAUUAAUUAAGUCUAACUUUCAUAUUCUGCUUGAAUUAUCAAUGAGGUCUGAAACUAACUGUAGUUCCCUUCUGUUUGUUCUAUUAUGUUCAUCCACCUUAUUGAUCCCCUGAAUCCAGUUGUCUUCCCAGAUAGAAAUGCUAUUACCUUUACCAACUUUCCAACCCAAUCCUCUUUGGAGUAGUCCUCUUGUUGCCCAGAUGCUCUUCCAGGUAAAUGAAGGUAAAUUUCCCAACUUUGCAUUUAAGAAACUUGGACUUUGGGAAAUAUUUAGCUUUCAAAACUCUAUCUAAUAAAGAAUUUGGAAAAUUAAUGAGACGGCAACCUUGUUUAGCUAAUAACGCAAUAUUAAAUUGACUAAGAUCUCGAAAACCUAAGCCACCAUUUUCUUUUAGCAAACAAAGGUUUUUCCAAGUGCACCAAUGAAUUCCCCUUUUACCUUUUCCUUUCUGCUACCAGAAUCUUGCUAUAAUACUCUCCAUUUCAUCGUAAAGAGCUCUCGGCAAUAAGAAGCAUGCCAUAGAAUAAGUCAGAAUAGCUUGCAGAAUGGCCUUAACAAAAAUUUCUUUCCCUCCUUGUGAUAAAAACCUAUUACUCCAGUUAUUGAUACGUUUUUUGAUUCGAUCUUUUAAACUCUGAAAAGCUUCUUUUUUCUUUCGCCCCACCAUAUUGGGUAGCCCUAAAUAUCUUUUAGGUUCACUUGUCCUACAUACCCUUAACACAUUUACCACCUGUCUCCUAUCCUCCAAUGUGUUUUUACUGAAAAAUACUUUUGAUUUAUCGAAAUUUACACAUUGUCCUGAGCAAACUUUGAAUUCGCACAGAAUAUCCUUUAUGACGUUUGCACCCCUCCUCGUUGCCUCUCUAAACAGUAUGCAACCAUCAGCAAAUAAAAGAUGAGAUACCUGCGGACCGUAUUCCUUUGAGACGAUCUCUCUUCAUUGCUAACCUCAGUAAGCUCGAUAAACCUUCACCACAUAUCAGGAAUAAAAAUAGGCUUAAUGGCUCGCCUUAUCUAAGUCCUUUGGUUGGUACAAAUUUAUCUCCUCUGUGCCCAUUUAUGACAACUGAAUAAGCAACAGAUGAAACACAUUUCAUAAUGGCAUUUACCCAACUAAAAUCAAACCCCAUCCUUGUCAUAAUCUCCUCUAUAAAACUUAAUUCAACCCUAUCAUAAAUUUUACUCAUAUUGAGUUUAGCGUCCAUAAAUCUUUUUUUCCCCGUUCUCUUUUGCUUUAGCUUAUGCAAUAUUUCAUAAGCAAGUAAUACACUAUUUGAUAUUAACUUGCCUGGCACAAAAGCAUUUUGGGCUUCAUCAAUACAUUUGCCAAUAACACUACGAAAUCUGUUUGCUAGUACCUUCGCUAUAAUUUUAUAAAGUACAUUGCAUAAACUAAUUGGCCUAAAUUGCAUCAUAGUUAAUGGGUUGUUGACUUUUGGCAUAAGCAUUAUAUUUGUAGAGUUUAUCGGACUAACCUUCAUAUUUCCGUUUAGAAUUUGUAGAAAAAAAGCUAUGACAUCAUCUCCAACAAUCUGCCAACACUUCUGAUAAAAUAAUACUGGAAAUCCAUCUUCCCCUGGUGUUUCCGAUGGUCCCAUCUCAAAAAUAGCUUCUAUAAUUUCAUCUCUAGAAUAUGAUUCUGUAAGUUUUCGAUUGUCCUCCGCUUGAAUGCAGCGCUCAAUCCUUGAUAGAAUAUGAUCAUAAUUCCCUUUUCUUGUUGAAAAUAAAUUUUGAAAAUAAGACUUCGCCACACCCUCAAUAUCCUGGAUGAACUCCAUUUCUCUUCCCUUUUCAUCUUUCAGCUUAUGAAUGAGAUUCUUUUUCUGCUGUUGUGAAGCUUGACUAUAAAUGAAAGCAGUAUUUUUGUCCCCUAAUUUCAACCAAUUGAUUCUAGCUCUCUGUUCCCAGUAGCAUUCAUCUUUCUCAAUUUCAAAAUUCAAAUUUAUUUUUGUAUCAAUCAAUUCAGCUAAGGUCUCAUCAUUUCUGUCUGCUUCAGCCAACUUGCCAAGUUUCUCCGUAAGAAUCCGUUUAGUCUUCUACCUAUUCUUUUGCAAUUGCCCAGUCCAAACUUGCAAUCCUUUCUUUAAAUUAUACAGCUUCUUUAACAAUUCCUCUGACGAAUUCUCCCAUAGCUUUCUGACUUCUUCCAUGAAAGAUUCCUCCAAAAGCCACCACGCCUCAAAUUUGAAAUUGUUAUCCCUUACUUGUUCUGCAAAUCUCCUGGUAUUAAUUAGAAGAGGAAAAUGGUCUGAAAAUGAAUGAACCAAAUGUUGAACUUUAAUUUCUAGAAACAUAACACUCCAAUUUGUAUUAGCUACUCAUCUGUCUAAACGCUCUUGAAUGUUCCUCUCUGGUAAGUUGCCUCUCUCCCAAGUAAAACGAUUUCCUUCAAAUCCCACAUCAUUCAAUCGGCAUUCCUCUAAUGUUUUCCUAAAAACUUCCAUCUUUCUUUCAUCCCUAGGUAACCCUCUUUUUUUUUCAAAUUCAUACCUAAUUUCAUUGAAGUCUCCACAAACCAACCAAGGGAUUUCUCUAUCAUUAGCUAAACUUUUCAAAGCCUCCCACGAAUCAUUCCUAUCUUAUAUGUAUGGGGAACCAUAAAAACUUGUAAAUCUCUAAUUAACUCCUUUUUCCUUAUCUUCAACAAUCACAUCAAUAUGUCUUUUAGAGUAACUAAUAAGCAUAACUUCAAUGUCAGUUCUCCAAGCUAAGCACAACCCUCCUCUCAUACCUUCUGAUCCGACUUCAGUUCCAUUUACAAAACCACAUCUCCUGUGAGUAAAUUCCAUCUUUUUCUUACUAAGUUUAGUCUCCAUAAAGAAGGCUAUUUGGGGAUUAUUAAUCUUCAGCAGAUGUCGAAGUCUUCUAAUCGUCCGUUGUCUCCCCAAACCACGGACGUUCCAGCUUAAGAUUUUCAUUGUGCUCGGUUGGCUUGCCUCUUGGCAGCUGCUGAUAUUAAAGAAUGUACCCCUUCCAUCUCCCCUCUAUUUCUCUUUUUUCCCUCCUCCCUUAUUAGAAUUUCAUCUUUCAGAUCAUGCUCCAUAGCCAUUUGCAUCUGAUAAGACCAAGGUUUAUUUCCCUCUUGUUCUUCAGGUGAUACCCUCCCCUUAAGGUUAAACCCUAAUAUUUGAUCAAUAAAUUUCCCUUUCUUUCCCUUCGAAACCUCAUUCUGGUGGUUAAACCCGUCAAACUUGUUCUCCAUCCAGCUUUCUUCCAGUUUCCCUUCCCCCUCCUCCCGCAACCAAAUGCUAUUCAUUGAUAGAGCUCUUCGAGAUGGUGCCCGUAAUGUUAAAUCCCAUCCCAUUCCAGUAAUGUCCCCUCCAACUCUCAUUUUUUCUUCACAGAAAGAGUCAUUAUGGCCUAAACUUCCAUAGAAAAAACAAAACAGCGAUAUACGCUCAUACUUGAAUUUAACAUAUGAACAUGUUCCACCAAACAUAAUCUGCAUCUUUCUUUUCAAUGGUUUCCUAAUAUCAAUCUGCACUCUAAUUCUCAUAAAAUUUUGAUACUCCUUUCCCACCUUUCAUACAUCAUACUCCAUGUAAACUCCAAUAAAAUUACCCAACUGUGUUGCUAGGCUUUCAGUAAAUAAACCUAUUGGGACGUCAUGAAUUUGUACCCAAAAAGGAUUAAAAAUUAAUGGUACCUUCAAUGGAUUUUCUCCCAUUCUUAGUUUGCGAAGUAUUAACAAAUGAUUAUUAAAAGUCCACGGUAGACCCUUCAAAACUCUUUUCAUAUCCAUAUUGUGGAAAAAUUUAAAAAGGUACCUUUUAUCCCCCAGAUCAUGAAUUUGCACCCUACAGGCAGGGUGCCACAAAUUUGCCAUAGUACUUCUCAUAGCUGGAAAGUGUAUUAUGCUUGCUGUUAAAAAGCAACCUACAAGCUGAAAAUCCUCCCCUUCUUUUUACAUGCUUGGUUCAGUCUGGAUCUGUAAAAUUUCCUCUUCUUAUUCAUUGAGCGACAAUUGUGCUAAUUCUGUUUCCAUGAUUGUAGGAAUUGAAUAUCAGAAAAACUUUCCUGUCCUCCCUAUCGUCUGAGAAAAAUUGUGUUUAAAGCGUCGAUUUCAAGAAAGAACAAAAAUAAUUUUCGAAAAAACCUAAAAACAUCAUACCAAAGGCGACAGACAGAAACGUGCUAGGGUAGCAGACUUCAUGACUAUAACAACUCUAGGUUAAUUAGAGUUUAAGUGAGAAACUAAAAACAAAGUUUAUCUAGGAGAAGAAAAGUCAAAAUAAAUUUUAGUUAAAAUAAGAGGAAUUCUCCCACAAAUCUCCACAUUUACUCAUAUUUAGACUAACUCUCUUGCUGAACCCUGUUAUGGGCUUAAUUGAUUCUUCGUCUGAUACUUACCAAGUUCAAGUAAUGCUCAAAAUUUGAAACUAGAAGGCUCUUUGUCAACAUGUCAGUCAGAUUGUGUUUUAUGCCAAUUUUAAAAAUCUAAACAUCCCCUUAAAUAUUCACCUCUCAAACAAAAUGAUAACGAAUGUCUAUAUGCUUAGUUCUCUCGUGAUGCAUUUGAUAUUUGGUAAGAUGUAUAACACUUUGACUAUCACAAUAUACAACAGUUGCUCAGUUUUCACUUACCAGUUCACUAAAAGAUCCCUUUCCAAACAAUGACAAUUACCAAAACCAAAUUGCUUAUUUUACUCAUUCUGUAAUUGUCAUAUAUUCUACUUUAGUAGUCAACAAUGCUACUAUAGCUUGGAGUGUCGCUUUCCAACUAAUUACACAAUUACCAAAAGCAAAUAGGUAACCUGUGAGAGACCUUAUUUGAUCUAAGUCUCCUACAUAAUCAGAAUAAACAUAUCAUAAGGACAUACAUUCAAAAUGACUAGUUCAAAUAUUGAUCAUCAUAAAAUACCGAGUUGUUGUUGAUAGUGUGAGCACUCUCCGACAUCUUUAAGAUCCUCGAAUUAGUUUUGCAAUACUAUAAAAGAAAGAAAAUAAAAGAAGUAACCAUAAAGCUUAGUAAGUUUACAAGCAAAUAAAUUACAACAUUUAACACAAAUAAUUAUACUCAAAUGUCACGAUCUUUAAUUUCUUCUUUACUUACUCUCUUACUCGUUCACUUCCUUGUUUACUUAGAUAACUCGUGAUUGUAAAUUACUCUUCUCUUACUGAAAUGUUGGUUCUCAAUUGAUAACAUAAUAUGUUCUUAACUCUUAUAACUCACCUGAAUUUGCUAUUUAUGCUUUUACCUGAACUUUCAUGGAACAUAAUUUGUUUACUAGCCCGUUGAGCCACAUUGGAAUAAUAAGGAUACUUGGGUCUCUUUUCUGAUAAUAAUAUGCCAAAGUCAUGUCCCAAGCAUGGUCUUACAAGGGAUGUUUCUUGUACUGCCAAUGCCAUAUCUCAGAUAUGGUCUUACACGGGAGUUCUCAUAUCGGUGCUCUUGCCAUGUCCCAAACAUGGUCUUACGGGAGACCUUUCAUCUCGGUGCCAAUGCCAUGUCCUAGACAUGGUCUUACAUGGGACCUCUCAUAACCUCAAUGAUGCCAAUGCCAUGUCCCAGACAUGGUCUUAAAUGGGAUCUCUUUACCCAAAUGUUAUGACAUUUGUAUCCGAAUAUUCUUAAUGUUUUAACGGGACUUUUUAACACUAAUUCUCUAUCUUCUCAUACUUAAGUCAACAUUAAAUAAUUUCAUAAAAUAAAUACAUAAUUGUUGGAAUAUAGAAUCAUUAUUAAUAAUUAUUGAAAUAUUUCAUUUAUUUACCGUAAACUUAUCUCAGUACAAAAUAUGGCCAAAUCAAUCAACUUAAUCUUCAACCUUUUUUUUUCCUCGGUCUAACCCCAAAUUUCAUUCUUCUUGAUCUAUAAUAGCAAAUUUAUAUUAUUUAAUGCUCACAUUCAUCAAAACAAUCCUUAACUCAAAAUUUAGAAAAAUUAUGAUUUUACCCUUAAACUUUUGUAUAAUUAUACUUUUUCCCCAAAGCUCAGAAAUUAAACUUCAUCCCUUAUUCUUAUGUUUUAUGACAUGCUGAACAUUUUUUCCUUCUAUGGCAACAUUGAAUUCCCACUCUAACACUUAUUUAUGAACAUUAGGUAUUUUUACCGAUUAUGUCGUUUUACUCUUUUUCACUUAAAAUCGCUUAGCAAAAAUCGUUUAACAUAAUUUCAAGCUUUAUAUUUUACCAUAAACCAUCAAAAUAAACACAUUUUACCUAAGAGUAUUUUUCCAAAUAUAAAUCCUAAGUUAAAUUAUUGCUAGAAUAAGCUAAAUUAAGUUACUGAGACUUCAAAAACAUAAAAAACAUUAAAAACGGGAGUUAGAAUUACUUAUUAUGGAGCUUGGAAGCUUGAAAACCCUAACUAUGGCUUUCCCCCUUGUUAAUUUCGGCCAAAUGAAGAAGAUGAGCACAAUUCGCCAUCUUUUUCUGUUUUAAUUCAUUUUAAUUGCCAAAUUAUCAAAAUGCCCUUAACUUAAAAAUUUCCUAUUUCACUUAUCUCAUGUCCAUUUUGUCCAUAACUUAACCAAUGGUCUAAUCAUCAUAUAAAGACCUCCAAUUUAAAAUUUCAUAACAAUUGGACACCUCUAACAUGUAGAACUCAACUUUUGCACUUUUUUACAAUUUAGUCCUAUUGAUUAAAUUGAGUGCCCAAAUGUCAAAAUUUUUGAACAAAAUUUUCACAAAAUUAUUCCGUGAAAUUGUAGGCCAAAAAAAUAUAGUAAAAAUAAUUUUUUUCUCAUCGGAUUUGUGGUCUCAAAACCACUGUUUCGACUAGGCCCAAAAUCGGGAUGUUACAUAAUUUACUUUCUAAUUAUUCUAACUUAGGAUUAUUUGAUGCAACAAAGCCAAAAGUGCCCGAAUGGACGUAUGUUUUACAACGGGAGAUAAAACAUCAUGAAAAUCAACUCCCUCCAUUUGACUGUAGCCCUUUGCAACCAAUCUUGCUCUACACCUAGUGUCAUUAGAACCUUAACCUUCCUUCUUUUUAAGCACUCAUUUACACCCAAUGAUUAUUUUACCGAUGGGUGGUUUAACUAGCCUCCAAGUCUCGUUCUUUUGAUGCGAUUCCAUCUCUUUCAUUGCAACGAGCCAUUUGCUAGAAUUGGAGGCUUGAAAUGUCUUAUAAUAACACAAAGGAUCGGUUGAAUCAAUGCUCAGGAACACUUAGAGCAUAAGCCACUAGGUUUCCUUUUCAAUAUUUCUAUGGUGGUCGGAUUUUUCACCUUUUCUUGUCACGAGCCAAUUUAUAAUUAGUUAAUUGAGAUGGUGAGGAUACUUGAGGGUCGGACGGAGCCCUAAACAAAUCCAAAAUAGCUUCAAGCAUGCAAGAAUUAGAAUUUUGUUGUCUUGUUGUGACAUCAUAUGACUCAUCGUCGGGACGAGACCGCUGCUUGUCCUAUCAUUACGAUGUUGGGCAUGUUCUUAUCGGGGUGUCACCCCUUGUUUCGGCUUUUGACUCCACCUUGCUCGAGACAUUUUCCUUUGUUGUGCCUAUACAAGUAAAAGUCCCCUUUUCUAAUCGAAACAUGGCAGAUUCAUCAAAUGGAACAUCUCUCUGCUAACAAUUAUUUUUUCGAAUUUUGAACACAACUUAAAACCUUUUGUACGGAAGAGUAUCCCAGAAAGAUGCAUUUAAUGACCCUUAGUUUGAGCUUUCCCUGGCUAACUAUAGCAUAAGCAAGACAACCAAAAAUUCUAAUAUUAGAAUAAUUGGGAGGAUUACCUGACCAUAUAUCCUCUGAAAUUUUACCAUUCAAUGCUCGAUGAGGAGACUGAUUUAUCAAAUUACUUGUCAGGUUUACGACUUCAGCCUAAAAUUCCUUCCCUAAGCCUGCAUUACAAAGCAUGCAUCGAACCUUUUUCUGUAAGGUUUUAUUCAUUCUUUCUGCAAUUCCAUUCUACUGCGGAGUUCCAAAAAUGGUUCAAUGUCUUUUGAUUCCUUUUCGUUGUCAAAAAUCAUUAAAAUUUGACAAACAGAUCUCGAACCCAUUAUCCAUUCUCAACCGCUUCACGGAUUUUCUAGUUUGUUUUUCUAACAAUGUUUUCCACUGUUUGAAGAUUCCGAAGACUUCACUUUUCUGUUUCAAGAAAUAAACCCAAACUUUUCUAUAGUGAUCAUCAAUAAAAGUUAGGAAAUAUUUAUUACCUCCUUUUGAGAUUUCAGAAGAUGGACCCCGUAAAUCAGAAUGAAUGUAAUCUAGAGUUCUUUUUGUUCUAUGUAUUGAUGAAUCGAAACUAACUCAAGUUUGUUUCUUGUAAACACAAUGCUCGUAGAAACCUAACUUGCCAACUCCAGUGUCUUUGAGAAGACCUCUAUUGCAAAAGACUAUCAUACCUUUCUCAUUCAUAUGACCAGUCGCAUGUGCCAAAGUUUGGUUGAAUCAGAACGAUGGAGAAAGAGUUACGUCGUGUUGUCGCGACGCUAGGCUGAUUCUCGUCAUGACGUGAUGGUGAUUUUAGCUUUUCUUCGGUAAUCAUCAUCGCACCAAUAACCAUUGACCAUUGCAAAACAUAUAGGCUGCUCUUUUUCUGUCCUCUCAACACAAUAAAAGCCCCACGAGAAACUUUUAGGCCAUUUCACUCAAUGACUAUCCUGCAACCGUUACAAAUCCAAAAUUCCUAAUGAGAUAAGAUUUUUCUUUAAAUUAGGAACAUGCCUAACAUUUAACGGUGUCCAAAUAAUUUCGUCGUGCAUCUUAAUUUGUAUUGUUCCAAUUUCAUAUAUUUUAUAUGGAAAGUUAUUCCCCAUCAGUAAAACUCCAUCUUCAACUAAACUAUACGUGGAGAACCAAUCCCUAUUAGGACAGAUGUAAUAGGAGCACCCUGAAUCUAAGGUCUAUUCAGAAGUAAGAUGAGAGCUUUCACUUGUUGACAUCGAUAAUAAAUCAUCACCUUUGUCCUUGGCUACACUAGCAUUAGCAACUUCGACUUUCUACUUAUCUUUCUCGUCAUUUUCGGCAUCCCUUUUGAUUUUAUUUUGAAAUUUCCAACAUUUUUCCUUAACAUGGUCACCUUUUUACAAUAGCCACAAUAUUUGUCACAAUUUCUGGAUUUGGACCUUACUUUAGACCUAUUUUGAUCUAUAUUUUUGGUUUGUUGUCUUCUUCUUGCAAUUAAAACUGAGGCUUGCUUAUUUGAUUUUUUAUUUGAGCCUAACUCAUUUUCGAGUUUAUCCUUACUUAGAAGAUUUGCCUUCACAUCCUUGAAUGAGAGAUGAUCUCUCCCAUAAAUCAGAGUUUUUCUAAAAGUUUUAUAAGAAGGCAAAGAGCAUAACAACAUAGCUUGAUCAUCGUCAUUAAUAUCUGCUUCAAGAUUCUUUAAGUCAUUAAGAAGGGUAACAAACUCACUAAUAUAAUUUCUAAUAGACUCACCUUCGAUCAUUCUAACUUAAAGAAUCUACUAGAAACUAGAAGCCUUUUCAUCGAGCUCUUCUCAUUCUGACUGAUCCAUAUCUAUGGGCUUCUUCCCUGUAACAACCUUUUUCAGACCGUUCUAAACCAGUAUUGUUGUUAUCCAAACUUGCCACAAAUUGAAAAUUUUAAUUCCGUUGAACUUCUCAAUAUUAAAGCUUGACGCUACCAUCUCUGAAUGAGUUGAUUGCGAAAAUCAAACUAGCUCUGAUUCCAGUUUGUUGGGUAAUUACCUCUUUAAACAACAAACAAAGUAAAGAAAAAAAGAAUUGAAAAGAUCGAACAUGCAAAUUUUACGUAGAAAAACUCCUCAAAAGAGGAUAAAAGUACCACGGAAAAAAAAAAGAUUUCAAUAUAAUAAAAGAGAGCACAAAAGCUGGAGAACAUUAAAAGAAAAACCCGAAGCCCCACAAGAAAAACCAUUCAAAAUAAAGAACAAAAUUCUCCCAAUCUAAAUAUUUUGUUGUUGUAAAACCUAGAGUAACUAAGACCUAUUUAUAGGCUGAAAUUCGUAGCAUAUAUGAUUACAACUCUAGGUUAAUUAGAGUUAAAAUGAGAAACUAAAAACAAAGUUUAACUAGGACAAGAAAAGCCAAAAUAAAUUUUUGUUAAAACAAUAGGCAUAGGUCAAUAACUCAUUAUUUUGCAUGUUUGGUGUGUUUACUUGAAGAUAAGUAAAGACUUAUGUGUCGGGGAGUUUGAUCUGCCAUAAUUUGAUAUGGCCAAUUAGGCUUUCUCAGUAAAUUUAAGGAGCUUAUUCUAGAGCAAAGUAUUGUUUUUUUAUAGUUUUUUGUACUUUUUAGAUUUUAAGUUAAUAAGUGUAUAUAUCUCGUUUUUUGUUCAUUUUUUGAUCUAAUUUUUCCAAUAGUACCAUUGAGACGACUAACUUGUGGUUGAGUGGUGUAGGCACAUGUUGAAGGUUGAAAAUGGAUGAGAAAGGAACCAAAGGAAAGGGCAUCACGAUAUCCACAGCUUGGAAUUACGAUACCUCUAAUAAUAUUGAAUAUUGGAGACCAUCCUUCAAUGGUAUCGAUAUAUCCAAUUUGGGUAUCGUGAUAUCCACCUUUCAAAGAAGAACCCAAGGCUCGAAAUUGCCCUUGAUAUCAUAAUAUCCUUUUCUAGGUAUCACAACACCGACAUUGUGAGGGGACAAAAUUGGACAAAAAGGGUAAUCUCUUUCCUCCAGAUCUAUCAAUCACCCAAGACCCAUAAGGGCAUUUUUGGCAAUAAAAAGUCGUCAAAAUUCAACCUAAACCAAUCAAAUUUGGAUGAGGAGGAGAUAGACACGCAUUAGCUUAGUUUUAGCUUUAUUUUCUCCAAGUUUUCUCUUCUUUAUCUAGGGUUUCUUAUUUUUCAUUUCUUUAGUUGUAGAUUUUACAUUUCCCAGCAAAGUUUCUUCUUAUUUUAAUUGUUCUUAGUGAUAGUUAAGUUAGUUAUCACUAUAGCUUAGAUUUAUUUGCACUUUUAGUCCCAUUACUUUUGUUAUCACUGUAACUUAGAUUUAUCUGCAUUUUUAGUCCCAUUACUUUUGUUGUAAGAUAUUUUUAGUUUUAGUUUAAUUUAUUUCAUUUUGUUUUACUUUCAAUCAACUAAAGUUUGUUCAUUUUAUGUUUAUUGCUUUAGAUUUCUCUAUUGAAUGCUUUUAGUUUCAUGCUUUUUAAGUUUUCUCGCAUAAAAAUUUGAACUUUUUGAUUUUUCUUAAGCUUUACUUUAAUGGUUGUUUGUUUUUCAUUUCCAUAUUCAUUCUUUUUAUUUUUAACAUGAGUAGCUAAACCUAAAAAGGAGGGGUUGGUUGAUGGAGAUACGGGUAAGUUGAUUUUUGGACAAAUGAAUAAAUCGUAAUAAAUUGGACUAAAUAAAUAGACCUAAAAACUUAGGAAGUGACACCCCUAAAGGAAAAUCUAGGCAAGUGAGGUCGAGAGGUAAUCUUGUUGCACACUCGUUCAUUAGUCCCGG
rnacentral:lncRNA from 1 species